AUACGUAGGUGACAAGCGUUAUCCGGAUUUACUGGGCGUAAAGGGCGUGUAGGCGGUCUUGCAAGUCAGAAGUGAAAUUCCUGAGCUCAACUCGGGCGCUGCUUCUGAAACUGCAGGACUUGAGUGCUGGAGGGGAUAGCGGAAUUCCUAGUGGAGCGGUAAAAUGCGCAGAUAUUAGGAAGAACACCGGUGGCGAAGGCGGCUAUCUGGACAGUAACUGACGCUGAGGCGCGAAAGCGUGGGGAGCAAACAGGAUUAGAUACCCUGGUAGUCCACGCCAUAAACGAUGAAUACUAGGUGUAGGGGGUAUCGACCCCCUCUGUGCCGACGUUAACACAUUAAGUAUUCCACCUGGGGAGUACGGCCGCAAGGCUGAAACUCAAAGGAAUUGACGGGG
rnacentral:rRNA from 1 species